GAAUCUUAUGAAUAAAAAAAAUAAAGCCCUAAAAGAAAUCAACCCCCAUUUCUUUCUCCCUUCUUUCAGACAAUCCAAGAACCCCAAAUCCCCUCAAUCCCUUUUCUAGACCGCUCCAAGUCGCCGCCAUGGCCGGCGGCCGGCGUCGCGCGACGGAGUUCUCGAUCAGCGGAAGUCUACUCAGAGGGCCCGAACUAUUGGAAGGGAGUCGAGGAGAAAACAAGACCUCUGGCCCCUCUCGAGCCUGAACCCGACGACGGCAAAGGACCAUCGCCGGCCAGUCCAAGUGCCGAUUCGGGUGUCAGACGCGUGGACGACCGGUGGUUGGCGAGCCUUGGGCGGUGGCGGCGUGCGAGGAGGUGGAACGGCGCGCAUUGCUGGAGCCUGGGCAUGCGGCGCUGGGCUUAGGGUUUGCUCCCUUCUGCCGAAACUGUUAAAGUCAUUUGGGCUAGGUUUUUUUUAAUUUGGGCCCGUUGGGUGUUUUAUUUGGGCUGGCAAAAUUGGGUUUUUUAUGUAAAAUGAACUGUUAUUUUUGUAUCUGGGCUUGGGCAGAAAUUGGGCUUUUACAAAAGAUAUUUGGUGGAAUUACCAAUAAUGAGAAACAUGUGAAGUAGGAAUAAUGCAAAUGUCGACAUGAUUGUACAUUUCAAAUAAAGUGUAAUCAAUAUUUGUUGUCGCAUUGUGUAUAAA